CACAUGACUCUCGGCAACGGAUAUCUCGGCUCUCGCAUCGAUGAAGAACGUAGCAAAAUGCGAUACCUGGUGUGAAUUGCAGAAUCCCGUGAACCAUCGAGUUUUUGAACGCAAGUUGCGCCCGAGGCCUUUUGACUGAGGGCACGUCUGCCUGGGCGUCACUC
rnacentral:rRNA from 2 species